rnacentral:rRNA from 1 species
GUGGGUAGUUUGACUGGGGCGGUCUCCUCCCAAAGAGUAACGGAGGAGCACGAAGGUUAGCUAAUCCUGGUCGGACAUCAGGAGGUUAGUGCAAUGGCAUAAGCUAGCUUGACUGCGAGAGUGACGGCUCGAGCAGGUGCGAAAGCAGGUCAUAGUGAUCCGGUGGUUCUGAAUGGAAGGGCCAUCGCUCAACGGAUAAAAGGUACUCCGGGGAUAACAGGCUGAUACCGCCCAAGAGUUCAUAUCGACGGCGGUGUUUGGCACCUCGAUGUCGGCUCAUCACAUCCUGGGGCUGAAGUAGGUCCCAAGGGUAUGGCUGUUCGCCAUUUAAAGUGGUACGCGAGCUGGGUUUAGAACGUCGUGAGACAGUUCGGUCCCUAUCUGCCGUGGGCGCUGGAGAAUUGAGGGGGGCUGCUCCUAGUACGAGAGGACCGGAGUGGACGCAUCACUGGUGUUCGGGUUGUCAUGCCAAUGGCAUUGCCCGGUAGCUAAAUGCGGAAGAGAUAAGUGCUGAAAGCAUCUAAGCACGAAACUUGCCCCGAGAUGAGUUCUCCCUGACCCUUUAAGGGUCCUGAAGGAACGUUGAAGACUACGACGUUGAUAGGUCGGGUGUGU